rnacentral:RNase_P_RNA from 1 species
UGAAUAGUCGCGUAUAGCAAGGCUGAAAAGCAGCGUACGAGGAAAGUCCGGGCUCCAUAGAGCAAUGAUGCUAGAUAACGUCUAGUGAGGGUAACCUUAAGGAAAGUGCAACAGAAAAUAACCGCCUUACAUAAGUAAGGUAAGGGUGAAAAGGUGAGGUAAGAGCUUACCGCAAAUAUGGUGACAUAUUUGGUCUUGUGUAAACCCCAUCAGGAGCAACACCGAGAUAAGAAGGCUAAGACUGCUCGUCAUCUUCUUGAUUUGGUGGCUUGAGCCAUAUAGCAAUAUAUGGACUAGAUAAAUGACUAUUCACGACAGAACCCGGCUUAUAGAUUUACUU